GCAAGUCGAACGAGGUGCUUGAGUAGCAAUACGAGAGUAUCCUAGUGGCGAACGGGUGAGUAACGCGUGGAUGACCUGCCCCAAAGUGUGGGAUAACAGUCCGAAAGGAUUGCUAAUACCUCAUGUGGUUAUCGGUUUUAGAAAGCGAUAACUAAAGCAGCAAUGCGCUUUGGGAGGGAUCUGCGUCCCAUCAGCUAGUUGGUGAGGUAACGGCUCACCAAGGCGACGACGGGUAGGGGACCUGAGAGGGUGGCCCCCCACAAUGGAACUGAAACACGGUCCAUACACCUACGGGUGGCAGCAGUAGGGAAUAUUGCUCAAUGGGCGAAAGCCUGAAGCAGCAACGCCGCGUGUGCGAUGAAGGCCUUCGGGUCGUAAAGCACUUUUCUAAGAGAUGAGAAAGGACAGUAUCUUAGGAAUAAGUCUCGGCUAACUACGUGCCAGCAGCCGCGGUAAAACGUAGGAGGCAAGCGUUAUCCGGAUUCACUGGGCGUAAAGCGCGUGCAGGCGGUUCGGUAAGUUGGGCGUGAAAUCUCUUGGCUUAACUAGGAGAGGUCGUUCAAUACUACCGGGCUUGAGAGUGGUAGAGGAAGAUGGAAUUCCCGGUGUAGUGGUGAAAUGCGUAGAUAUCGGGAGGGACACCAGUGGCGAAAGCGAUCUUCUGGACCAUUUCUGACGCUCAGACGCGAAAGCUAGGGUAGUAAACGGGAUUAGAGACCCCGGUAAUCCUAGCCGUAAACGAUGUAAACUUGGCGUCGGUGGCUUAAACUCCAUCGGUGCCGUAGCUAACGCGAUAAGUUUACCGCC
rnacentral:rRNA from 1 species